CAGUAGCCACGGGAAUACGAAGGGGGCUAGCGUUGUUCGGAUUUACUGGGCGUAAAGGGCGCGUAGGCGGGCGAAUAAGUCAGGGGUGAAAUCCCAAGGCUCAACCUUGGAACUGCCUUUGAUACUGUUUGUCUUGAGUUCGAGAGAGGUAAGUGGAACUGCGAGUGUAGAGGUGAAAUUCGUAGAUAUUCGCAAGAACACCAGUGGCGAAGGCGGCUUACUGGCUCGAAACUGACGCUGAGGCGCGAAAGCGUGGGGAGCGAACAGGAUUAGAUACCCCGGUAGUCCCUGUCUCUUAUAC
rnacentral:rRNA from 1 species